UGAGUUUUCGUCCAUGUCAAUCCAUCAUUUAGCUCUGCUGGGCUUCAAAACCUGGCCCAUCUACUCUGAUCUAUCCUCCUGCGUUUUUCCUGCGCCGUUCACGUUCCCUGAAAUCCUCAAGACGACGGUUUCUUCAGAUGUGUAACGAUGAGAUUGCUGAGUUGAAGCGUUGCAUCUGCUUCUUCACCAACGUCUUGCCCAAGCGCCAGAAGCUUCUCUAUUCCAAAGUCGGCAACAAGCUCUCCGAUGACUCGCUUCUGCUCUCUCAGAUUCCACUCAAGCCCUCUCUUAAGAUGACGCGAUCGGGACUACAGAAGAUGAUUUAAUUGUAUAUCAACUAACAUCUCAGGACAUUGUUGAUGACUUUGAGACGAAGUGGUUGAUGUUAAAGACAAAGAGCUUAAUUCAAUUUUCUGAGUUGAAGGACGGGAGAUGCAAACAAAAGUUCAGAGCAGACUCAUACGAAAUUGGGAAGUUCAGAAAUUUUUUAAAGGUGGGAGAUCACGGGUGUCGAUAGCGAAGGUAUACACAAGACCUUUUUUUAACAAUCUUUUUAUGUGAUGCUUCAUCUUCACCGUUCUUAGGCCACUCUCAUCCAAGGGUUAUUUCGAACAUAUAUUCCCUUGGCAAUCUAAAUUUAUUUAUUUUAAUAUCUUAUCUCAUGUCUUUGAGUUAACCGAACCAGUCUCUCCGUUUGCUGAAGAAGGAUUACGUUUCGUAACCAAACCGAUCUGGUUCGAUUAGCUAACACGAACACACAGCUUCCAGGAAGGUGUUCAUAUAUUUUAGGAAAGAUGGGCACAACUGGAGGAAGAAGAAAGAUGGUAAAACGGUGAAAGAUGGUCACGUAAAGCUCAAGGUUGGAAGCAUUGAUGUGUUACAUUGUUACUAUGCACCUAAAUACUACUUCUAGGACCCAUUUUUACUUUGACAAUGAGGUGGCCGCAAGCCAGAGACUAUUUCAAGAGUUGUCUUCAAAACCCAAGAAAGACACUACCAGUGCGAAGCAGUGCCAUGGUGUAAAGAAGCUCGAAAAGGUUUCACUAGGAGAAUUGAACAACUAUGUUCUGGAGUCACCCCCACAAGCCAUUGAGUUUCUAUGCAAAGCCAAGAUCGCGUCACUGGAAACUAAAAACGGAUGGUGUUACAUCUCCUGUGCUAAAUGCUCCAAGAAGCUCCAGUGAGGAAAUUCUUCGUUCACAUGCCCUACAUGUUUUAAUGUUUUAAUGCCAGUUCUGUUGGAGUUGUCAGGUAUCGUGUUGUGCUGCUGUGGAGGCGGGUGGUGAUAAAUCUCUCUUUGUAGCAUUCGAUUCAGCUAUGACUAAGCUGACAGGAACAUGGCUCAGAGCUACAGGAAUCAGGGCUGCAGAAGUUGCGAAUCCUAUGGACCAUGAUGAUCAAGUCCUAAGAGGCUAUCAACUCCCUCGCUUCUUCCAAAACAUUGUUGGAAAUGCAUAUAUUUUCCAUCUGAAGCUCAAGUCUUUCACUGUUGCUCGGAUCUUCAACCACAAUGAGAGAAUCCAAGGACCUGCUUUUGCACCAAAUACAAGCGGAAACAAUCCUGAUGAUGAUAUGGAUUGAGCAAAAUGUGUUUCUACCAAGUCCCAUGCUGGUGGAUCCUCCACUAAUAGUGGCCCAAAGAAUGGUGAUGGUGCAAACGACCCAUCUGAUGCUGAGGAAACAAUGUCAAAUGUUGAGACCGAGAACACCCUCAUUGAGAAUGUUGCUGGCGUUGACAACGUGACAUCAGGAGGAAACCCAGCCAAGAAGCCCAAAAUUGUAUAGAUUCCUGCAUCAACGUACGAGGAACUACGCCAGUUUUAUCACUUAUGCUUUUUUUCAAUGGCUUUUUGUUUACAAAAAGGACAAUUAAUCCACUUUAAAUUUUAGUUUCUUAUCAUUUCUUCGACUUAUUUAAUAAUAAAUUUGGCCUUUCUUUUAUUCAUGAAA